rnacentral:miRNA from 15 species
AUGUGCAUCCGGGAGUAGAUCU